rnacentral:rRNA from 1 species
AGAGUUUGAUUAUGGCUCAGGAUGAACGCUAGCUACAGGCUUAACACAUGCAAGUCGAGGGGCAGCAUUGGAGUAGCAAUACUCAGAUGGCGACCGGCGCACGGGUGAGUAACACGUAUCCAACCUGCCGCUUACUCGGGGAUAGCCUUUCGAAAGAAAGAUUAAUACCCGAUGGUAUAAAGAGUUCGCAUGUUCUCUUUAUUAAAGAAUUUCGGUAAGCGAUGGGGAUGCGUUCCAUUAGAUAGUUGGCGAGGUAACGGCCCACCAAGUCUACGAUGGAUAGGGGUUCUGAGAGGAAGGUCCCCCACAUUGGAACUGAGACACGGUCCAAACUCCUACGGGAGGCAGCAGUGAGGAAUAUUGGUCAAUGGACGAGAGUCUGAACCAGCCAAAGUAGCGUGAAGGAUGACUGCCCUAUGGGUUGUAAACUUCUUUUAUAAGGGAAUAAAGUGAGGGACGUGUCCCUUUUUGUAUGUACCUUAUGAAUAAGGAUCGGCUAACUCCGUGCCAGCCGCGGC